AUGAACGCUGGCGGCGUGCCUAAUACAUGCAAGUCGAGCGGACGGAUGAGAAGAUUGUUUUUCGGAUGUUAGCGGCGGACGGGUGAGUAACUCGUGGAUAAGCAACCUAUAUGACAGGGAUAACUACGGGAAACCGGAGCUAAUACCGGAUAAUAUUUUGACCCGCAUGGUUCAAAAGUGAAAGACGGUCUUGCUGUCACUUAUAGAUGGAUCCGGCCUGCAUUAGCUAGUUGGUAAGGUAACCGCUUACCAACGCAACGAUGCAUAGCCGACCUGAGAGGGUGGUCGGCCACACUGGAACUGAGACACGGUCCAGACCCCAACGGUAGGCAGCGGUGGAGAAUCGUACGCAAGGGACGAGAGGCGAACGGAGCCAAGCCGCGUGAGGGAUGAAGGUAUUCGGAUCGGGAAAGUAUGUUAUUUGGGAAGAACAAAUGUGUAAGUAACUGGGCACAUCUUGACGGUACCUGAUGAAAAAGCCACGGCUAACUACGUG
rnacentral:rRNA from 1 species